rnacentral:tRNA from 1 species
GCGCCCGUAGCUCAGUUGGAUAGAGCAACGGAUUUCUAAUCCGUAGGUCGCAGGUUCGAAUCCUGCCGGGCGCG